rnacentral:sRNA from 1 species
GGCGCCGGGGGGGGCUCCCCCGGGACCCCCGGGGUGGGGUUCGACUCCCCACGGCGCC